GCCGUAUCCCGCUGAAACACCUGUACUCGGACGAUCACCGAAAUUAAGUACAGUCGAGCCUGAACAGUGCCAAGAUGGGUGAUCGCUUGGGAAUACCAGGUGUUA